CCUACGGGAGGCAGCAGUGGGGAAUAUUGGACAAUGGGCGAAAGCCUGAUCCAGCAAUUCCGCGUGUGUGAAGAAGGCCUUCGGGUUGUAAAGCACUUUAGGUUGGGAAGAAAAAACUUCUCCUAAUACGAGAAGCGUUGACGGUACCAACAGAAUAAGCACCGGCUAACUCUGUGCCAGCAGCCGCGGUAAUACAGAGGGUGCAAGCGUUAAUCGGAUUUACUGGGCGUAAAGCGUGCGUAGGUGGUUUCGUAAGUCGGAUGUGAAAGCCCCGGGCUCAACCUGGGAACUGCAUUCGAUACUGCGAGACUCGAGUUUGGUAGAGGGUGGCGGAAUUCCCGGUGUAGCGGUGAAAUGCGUAGAUAUCGGGAGGAACAUCAAUGGCGAAGGCAGCCACCUGGGCCUGAACUGACACUGAGGCACGAAAGCGUGGGUAGCAAACAGGAUUAGAUACCCUGGUAGUCCACGCCGUAAACGAUGAGAACUUGACGUUGGUUCGUUUUACGAAUCGGUGUCGUAGCUAACGCGAUAAGUUCUCCGCCUGGGGAGUACGGCCGCAAGGUUGAAACUCAAAGAGUAGUCGCGUGNGAGACGCGACGACGACGACGACGGAGGAGGAG
rnacentral:rRNA from 1 species